CGUCUUUUCGCGGCGCGCGGGAACGCCUAUAUAAGCGUUGCCGGCCGCAAGGUCGGCUAUGGCGAUAAACGGUCGAUGCAAUAAACCAUUCGGACCCGGGGGCGGUACCCGGCGCCUCCACCGGAAGGCCUCGUGUGUGGGGCCUUGCGGCGGGGGCGAAACAGGAUCGACGAGGGUGUAAAGAUCGAACUUUCGCUCGGCAUGGUACCGCCGUUAUCGGGCUAUUUUAUAGUUGCCAACGACAACUAUGCGGAAGCCCGUCUCGCUGCUUAAUGCAGCGCGAUAGCUUCGAAUCAAGCCCUGCGGGUUCGCACUCGUAGGCGGGGUUCGGAGGCACCUGGCAACAGAAGCCUCCACU
rnacentral:tmRNA from 1 species